rnacentral:rRNA from 1 species
GAUGAACGCUGGCGGCGUGCUUAACACAUGCAAGUCGAACGAUGAAGCCCAGCUUGCUGGGUGGAUUAGUGGCGAACGGGUGAGUAACACGUGAGUAACCUGCCCUUAACUCUGGGAUAAGCCUGGGAAACUGGGUCUAAUACCGGAUAGGAGCGUCCACCGCAUGGUGGGUGUUGGAAAGAUUUAUCGGUUUUGGGUGGACUCGCGGCCUAUCAGCUUGUUGGUGAGGUAAUGGCUCACCAAGGCGACGACGGGUAGCCGGCCUGAGAGGGUGACCAGCCACACUGGGACUGAGACACGGCCCAGACUCCUACGGGAGGCAGCAGUGGGGAAUAUUGCACAAUGGGCGCAAGCCUGAUGCAGCGACGCCGCGUGAGGGAUGACGGCCUUCGGGUUGUAAACCUCUUUCAGUAGGGAAGAAGCGAAAGUGACGGUACCUGCAGAAGAAGCACCGGCUAACUACGUG